rnacentral:lncRNA from 1 species
GCUCUGUGUGGACAGGUGGGGACCAGCUUCCAGGAGAGCGGACGUGGUUGGGGGGAGAGAGGUGCGCAGAUUGUCUGCACACUGUGCUAAGCCCGGGUUGUGGAAAGAGAUGCGUGUAGACCAACGGGAGGAAGCAAGGCCUCUCCCAGGACAGUUAGGUGGUGGGGGAAGGGCUGGAGUAGAACGCGAGGACUGCACCACCACCGGGGGAUCCGUCCAUCCUGUGACCGUGGCGCUGUGGCUGUAGAUGACCUGUGCUUUGCAGACUCCCCCGAGGCGCUGGGUCCGAGGACUCAGGGAGGGAAGACGGCGUCUGUGGCCCCGGGUUCAGGUGUGCAGGUGGGGAGUCGGUGUGGGGGGAUGCGUGAUGAGUGCUACACACACCGCUGGAUAUGCAUUUUCCUCUUUUCCUCAUAGCAGGUUUAAAAAAUUUGUGAUCGCUCAGUCUUAUCCCCGUGUCCCUUUCCUUUUAAAACUGCCCAAAGUGUGGUUUUAAGAUACUUCUACCUGGAGUUCCUGUCGUAGUGCAGUGGAAACGAAUCUGACUAGGAACCGUGAGAUUGUGGGUUCGAUCCCUGGCCUCGCUUAGUGGGUUAAGGAUCCCGCACUGCCGUGAGCUAUGGUGUAGGUCGCAGAUGUGGCCGGAUCCAGCGUUGCUGUGGCUGUGGUGUUGGCCAGCAGCUGUAGCUCUGAGUCAACCCCUAGCCUGGGAAUCUCCAUAUGCCGCAGGUGCAUAAAGCAACAACAACAACAACAAAAGUUUCUACCCAACUAGCUUUUGUCUGGACCAGUUUUAGGAGAGUAAGAAUUAGAGCUUAGGGAGAGUCCUUCUUCUGCAGAACAGGAUACAGCUCACAGGGCUGUCCUUGUAGCCGCAGUGACAGGACCAGCACCCCCAGCCCCAAACUCCAGAAUUAAGUGUACGAAGCUCCCCGCUGUGGCCCCAUCCUUCCAGAGGUUCUCCUGUUCAGCAUGCCUUUGGGUAGAAGGCGUAGAUGUUUUCAUUUUUAUUGCUUCUCCUUCCUGGGGUUCGUUAGGUUACACAGCCCGCAGGUUAUUGGCCAGCUCCUCGUAAGGAAGGCACGUGUCUUUGGGUAGGUGGCGAAGCAUUAGGCCUUCUUCCCGGGCUGUGGGCUCCUUCCAGGAGGGUAGGCUUGGGGGCCGGGGGCUCAGAGGACCUCCGUGUCGCUCCAGCUCCAGGGUUUUGUGCCCCAGGCUCCUGGCAUUGGGACAGAAGAGCUUGAGAUGGGCCGCUUGGAAGGGGGACCCGUUGGAGGAAAGCAGCCGUGCGGAGCAGUGGGAGAGACAGGCCUGGACGUGGAGAGCUGGAGGCAGAGGCGAGCCAGGAAGCUCCUGCAUUUCUGAAAAUCUCACCCGAGGCUCCCACUCUCCUCAGGGGAAGGAAAAGAAAAUCUUAGUGACCAGACUCUAAGCCGUUACCAUAACCGGUCAUUUUGGAGUUAAACUGACUUUGGGGAAUUAACCUGGAAACGUCAACACGAUUAUGCUUUUUAAAAUAACAUUUUUAAUUCAACACUAUUAAACUUUAAACACUUUGAAUUUGGAAAUGAAUCACUAUCAUAUUUUUUAACAGGAUCAUGUUUUGUUCGUUCCUCACACCUUUCUUCUGCUGAGACUUUUAGAAAAUAACCUAUUUGAUAAAAGGGGACCCAUUUUUUCUUUCUGUCUGUAAGCAGUUCCUUGACGGAACGGAAUUGUUUUGGGUACCAGACGUUUAUAGACUAUUAAUGGCCUCACAUGUACAUCAGUUAUCAGACCGUUAUUUUGCUAUAUUAUCAGGUAGAGACGAAAGCCUUUAUUAUAAUCAAAAUGAUAAGUAGCUGUUUGUUUCUCUUCACUGAGGGAUAGGCAGACAAAAGGAUAAUUAAACAAAUCAGCGUUGUGCUAAUUCAGUUUUUGAGCUGGCAGAGUUCAGGACUUGUUUGUCGAACUAACAGGGAAAUUCAAACAUUCCACACCCAGAAGGUUAUCGUUUUUGCUCGUUUCC